rnacentral:lncRNA from 1 species
UGUCUCUCAUUCCAAGCAGCUUCUUCGGUGGCCGGAGAACCAACGUCUUCGAUCCUUUCUCUCUCGACUCCUGGCAUCCCUUCCAUGACUUCCCAUUCCCAAGCACAUCUCUCUCAGUCUCAUCUCCUCGCUCUGAGUCCGCAAAUGAAACUUCAGCAUUUGCCAACACACGCAUAGACUGGAAGGAAACUCCGGAGGCUCACGUUUUCAAGGCUGAUCUUCCAGGAAUAAAGAAAGAGGAAGUGAAAGUGGAGGUAGAAGACGGCAGGGUUUUGCAGAUAAGUGGAGAGAGAAGCAAAGAGAAGGAAGAGAAGAACGAGAAGUGGCAUAGAGUUGAGAGAUCAAGUGGGAAAUUCUUGAGAAGAUUCAGGCUGCCAGAGAAUGCAAAAGUUGACGAGGUUAAGGCAAGCAUGGAGAACGGAGUCCUGACAGUGACUGUUCCUAAAGAGGAGGUCAAGAAACCAGAUGUCAAGGCCAUUGAGAUCUCUGGUUGACUGAAAACAAUGGCAAAUUCCAUCUACGGGGUGUUGCAGUUUGGUCUGAAAAAAGGUAUUAGAAUUACAAUUUCUUCUAAUAAACAAGUAAUAUGGAUGAGUGUAAUCUGCAAUGUAAUGGGUGUCAUGUGGUUCUUUUGUAUGGAGUUGUAAUUUGAGUGUGCUGAAUUUUCUUUGUUAAUAAAGAUUUGAUCUUUUCGUAUACAGUUUUAUUGUCAUAAUUCUUUUCAGAUUUAUGGAAAUAAAUUUUAAUGAUGAAGAUUUUCUCUAUAAUUCAAAUUUUAUUUUAUUAAAAAAUUAAUAAAAAGUGCAAGUAUUUUGACUAUAAUUUUUUUUUUAUAAUUACUUUUAAUUAAAAUUUGAAUUCAAAGGGAGACUGAGACAGUGAGAUUGCCAAAGGAAGAAACAGAGAAGGAAGGGGAAAAACAGAGGUAAAAUCAGGGAAGGAAAGAGGCAAAGGAAGAGGGGAAGAAAAAGAAAAAGGAGAGAAAAGAGAAAGGAAGCAAGAUUCCUAGACUUGAUACUAACUUUUAGGUGAAAAUGUUAGCAAAUUAAAGCAAUGAAAUUGAGACCGGCAAAUAAAAGAGGGUAAGAUCUGGGCAUUUUGCUUAAUUAGGUUUGAAAAAAAGUUUGUCCUGAAUCUGGGUUUAAAACAAGUUUUAAAUCAGAUCGUUUUGCCACAUUUUAGAGAGACGCGGAAAUAAAUAAUAGAUUUACCGCAUCUUAAAUGAUCAAAAUUUUCUUUUAAGAAAAAAGGAAAAGUGAUAUUUAAUAUAUUUUUAAAACUGAAUGACUAAAAAUCAGAGUGAUUAAUUAAUAUAUUUAUUUUAAAAAUUUUAAUGUAAUUUUUUUAAAUUAAAAAAAUUAAGUAACAAUUUUUUUUAUAGUAUAGAAAUGGUUAAUAUAUCUUUUUAAUUAAAAUAAUUGAUGUUAUUGAAAUGAGAUAAACAUUGUGGCCACUAACUGUAACUUACUGUAAAGAUUUAACAUCUUUAGAAUAGAGCGAAUGGAGCGAAUUUUGACGAAGAAUUGAAUUAAGACUAAUAUGAAAUUUUUGAAUUUUUUUUCAUUUGGUAACAUUGAGUAUCCUAAUCCGAUUCUUGCUAUAUUACUCUGUUUUCGAAUUCCAAUAUAUUACCUCCUCCUUAUUAUUAUUAUUAUUAUUAUUAUUAUUAUUAUUAUUAUUAUUAUUAGUAAAAUAAAUUAAUAAUUAUAUAAAAUAAUAAAAUAAAUGGUUUGAUAUACAUUAUAAAAAAUAAAAAAUAAUCAUAAAAUUUACUAAUCAAAUUAUCCAAAAAAAUAGUAGUUAAAAUAAAUUAUAGUCUAUUUACCUAAAAUUUAAAAUAUAUGGAGGUUUAUAAUAUCAUAAUUCUAUAUAUUGUUUGUAUUUCUGUAUAGAAUAUAUUUGUUUAGUAUAUAUAAGGUCUAUCAAUAGUUAGCUAGUGGCUAAGUAUACAGACUAUAUAAUAACAAAUAUUAUCUCAAUGAACUCUAAGUUUUAUCACGUCCCCUUAAUUCGUGCAUUGUGGGGACAUGACGAAUUGUUAAGUGUUGCAUUAGAGUUUGAUGUCGCAUCUUGGAUAAUGGUUUAGCCAGAAUGUCUGCUAAUUGAUCUUUAGAGCAAAUAAAAUGCACUUUGACUUCAUUCUUUUGUACUUUAUCACGAACGAAAUGAAAAUCGACUUUCAAGUGCUUCGUCGAGUAUGGAAAACAGGAUUGAUAGAAAGAUAUGUUGCGCCAAUAUUAUCACACCACAAGUUGGGAGUUUUGGUGGAAUGGAAAGUAAUGUAAUGCAACAUUGACUGAAUCCAAGUUAAUUCAGUGACAGCAAGACCAAUAGCUCGAUACUCAGCCUCUAUUGAUGAACGACAACUUUUUAUUAUUUCUUAUAAUUUCAAGAUAUGAGAUUUUUGCCCAUGAAAAUAGCAUAACCUGUGGUGGACUUGCGAUUAUCAAUGUCACUCACUGAAUCAGCAUCAGUAUAUAUAUAUAUUCAAAUAUGUGUUUGCCGAUUUGGAGAUGUGAAGACCAUGACCAGCAGUGUGCUUGAGAUACCUCAAUAUACGCUUAACCGAACACCAAUUGUUUUCAGUAGGUGCAUGAAAAAACUGAAAAACCUUGUGAACUGAAUAACAUACCUCAGGUCAGGUUAAACUCAAGUAUUGCAAUCCACCUACUACACUCCGAUAUAAUAUGGGAUCACUCAUUAGGUGGCUUUGUGUAGCAGACAUCUUAUCUUUUGGAGUUGCUAGUAUGGAAAUUUCCUUGUAAUCUCCCAUCUGUGCUUUGUGAAGCAAGUCAAGUAUAUACUUUUGUUGAGUUAACAAAAGUCCAUCAGCAGUCCAAGUUGCCUCCAUACUAAGGAAAUACUCCAAUGUACCCAAAUCUUUCAACAUGAACUCAGAUUUGAGAGAGGAAAUAAUAUGAUUCAAAGUAUGACUGCAUAUACUGGUCAUGAUAAUAUUGUUCACAUACACAAGGAUAAACAACUUGAUAUUGUUCUUGACAUAACAAAAUAGAGAGGAAUCUGCAGGAGAUAUUCGAAACCCUUGAUUGAUUAAGGCUGAGAACAUACGUUUAUACCACUGACUUGGAGGUUGACGAAGACUGUAUAGUGAACAGCAUAGACGACAAACAUGAUCUGGUUUUGAUUUAUCAGUGAAACCUGGAGGCUGCUCCAUGUAAACUUCUAUCAUCCAAAUCUCCAUGCAGAAAAGCAUUAGAGACAUCUAAUUGCUUCACUAACCAACCAUUUGAGAUGGCCAAGGACAAAAUUAUUCGAAUAGUAGUUGGUUUGACAACCGGUGAAAAAGCUUCAAAAUAAUCAAUACUAGGACGUUGAUGAUAUCCCUUAGCAACAAGACGAGCCUUAUAUCUAUCAAUACUGCCAUUAGAUUUUUAUUUAACUCUAAACACCCAUUUACAACCAACUAUAUUCUAUGCCUUGUCCCGAGGAACGAGUUCCUAAGUUUCGGUUUGAAUUAAAGCAUUAAACUCUUGAAUCAUGACAUCACGCCAAUUUGAAUCUUUGACAGCUUGAGUGUAGCAACUAAGUACUGAGAAGGAGGCAGUCACAUUAUUUAACUUUAGAGACUAUGGAGUUUGUGGUUUGAGCUUGCCCGUUUUCUGUCUAGUUACUAUGGAAUGUGUCUUAACUUGCAAAGGAACAGGGGGAGGAGAUGAAGUGUUGUUUCUACUGGGAUCGAAUAGGUUGGAAUCUGAUUCUGGUUGUGUAAUUGAAACGGUGCGUUGGAGGUUUAGCUGAGUUGGAGGAGUAAGCGGUUCGGUUUGAUGAAAAUUGGUCAGCUCGGUUUGGAUAGUGUAAAGUGAUACGAUGCGCUCAGAUGAUGGGCUUAUGGUGUGGGCCUGACUUGUGUCAGUUGUGGCGUUGUUUUGGGUAAGGGUUGGAGUUAAUGGAAGCAACGUUGUUUUGAUGUCUAGAAGAGAUUUGUAAGCUGCGUUUUGGAGGCUGCUCCUAAAACACCAGGUUGUGUGUUUGACAAAGGUGGAAUGGGUGGUAACGGAAUGGACGUAGGACUCACUUUAGCCAUUAAGGUGGUGCCAGUAUCAUCCAACUUCUUAAAAUGAAACUCCUGCUCAAAAAAUAAGACAUGGCGUGAGAUAAAAAGACGACCAGAAGAAAUUUCAAGACAAGUAUACCAUUUAUGAAGUUUACUAUAGCAAAAAAAAACACAACGAGAAGACUUAGGAGCAAGUUUGUGAGAUGAAUAAGGUUUCAACCAAGGAUAACACAAUGAACAAACACACGCAAUUCAUCAUAAGUAGGUUUCUCAUGAAAUAAAAGUUCAUAGGGAGUGUGUUUGUUAUUGAAUGAAGAGGGCAAUCUAUUUAUUGUAUAGGUAGCAGUAUUGAAGGCAUAAGUCCAGUAAUUGUAAGGAACUAAAGCAUGAUGUAAUAGAGAUCGGCCUAACUCAACAACAUGCCUAUACUUUCGUUAUGCACAUCCAUUUUGUUUAGGAGUGUGAGGACAAGAAACCCUUUGUAAAAUCCCAUGUUCUUUCAAGUAAUUGGACAAAGACCGAAAUUCUCCCUCCAAUCCGAUUGAAAGUUUUUGAUAGACAGUCCAAAAUAUUUUUUUACUAAACACCGAAAUUGAACAAAGACAAGAAAGACAUCAGAUUUUUAUUUAAGAAAAUAUAACCAGUAAUACUUACUAAAAUGAUCAUAGAAAAUCACAUAAUAACGAAAACCAUCAAUAGGAACAACAGGGGCAAGACCCCAAACGUCAGAAUAAAUGAGUUCAAAAGGCUGUUUAGCACGAUAAUGAGAAUCAACAAACGGUAGUUUAUGUGAUUUACUCACAUUAUAAGCAUGAAAAUGAUGAAAUUUAUUACUAGAAUUAAAAAAAAAUAUUAUUAGAUCUAAGAACAUCAUGAACAACUUAGAAAUUUUUACGUUCUAGCCGCUCAUGCCAUAACGAAACCAUUGCUGGAAAAGUUUUUGGAGAGAAUAACCGAACUUGUUGUAGAGGAAAGUGAUAAAGACCAUUGUCACUCGGACCUUGGUAUAACACCUGCUUCGUGGGGAUAUCUUUCACAAAAUAUUUGUUAGGAAAAAAUUCAAUUGAAGUGUUAUUUUAUGAAGUAAAAGCAGAAACUGGCAUUAAAUUGUUAGUGAUAGCAGGUGAAUAAAGAAUAUCAUUCAAACGAAAAUUAUGACCAUUAAUAGAAGUAAUUGAAGAACCACGAGAUAAGACAGGAAAGUGUUUUACCAUUAGCAAUUGUGAGAGCGGUGGGAUCAUUAACAGGAACAGGAUGAGCUAUAGUUUCCUGAUUAGCUACUAGAUGAUAAUUUGCGCCGGAGUCCACAGUCCAAACCUGAAGAGGUUUGGUUUGAGUUUUUACUACAUUGGCUUGAGAAUUGGUGCGAGGUGAGGGACAUUGUCUUGAAACAUGUCCUGUUCCAUUGAAAUUAAAACAUGUUAAAGUAGAAGUGCCACGACCAGAAGCAUAACUAGACUGCCCAAAACUGCGUCCUUGAUAUGAUGACUGUCCACCACGCCCACGGUAACCACGGCCAUGCCCUCUACUGCCUCGUCUAGAAUUUGCAUAGUGAGCAGUAGCAAGAACGACAAAAUUAAGAGUGAGAGAAUCAAACUUCAAUUGGGAUUCUUCUUUGAGCAGUAAUGCAUACAACUCACUAAAAGUAAUAUGAGUAUUUCGUGCUUCUAUAGCACGCAUAAAAGGACGAGAAUCCGGAUCCAAUCAUUCCAAAACAUCACAGAAAAGAUUUUUCUCUGUAACAGAUCCUUCUAAUGCACAAAGCUAAUCAUAAUACGAUUUUGCUUUGCGCAUGUAAUUGUCAAUCGAAUAAUUACCUCGCUGCAAAUGCUUGAGUUGUUUAUGUAGCUGUUGAAUUCGCGUUUUAGCACUGGUGGAAUAAAUUACAGUGAGCUUGUCUCAAGCAUCCUUGGCAGUGGCGCAACGAGUGACCAGAUAAAGAAUAGAUUCAGAAACGAAACAAUUAAUCCAGUUAUGAACGAUCUGAUCUUGACAGAACUAAUCCAUAAAUGUGGGAUUUGGUUUGCCAUUGGGUAAAAAGCGAUCUAGUGCAGUAACAGUAUCAUCGACAUAAGAAGCCAAUCUGUAUCCAUGAAGAAGAGGCAUGAUUUGUGCAUGUCAUAGCAAAUAAUUACCCGAAGUGAGUUUAAUUGUGAGAAAUUGAGUGACGUUUGGAAUCUGAAGAUUGGAGAUAAAUGAUGUAGAUCCGACAGUAGUUGAAAUAAGAGAUUACUCAAUGCUAGCCAUUGCUGUUACGAACAGAAGGAAGAAUAAUAUGAGAAAAACGUAAAAACCAAGAGAAGAAUUUGCUGUAAAGCCUUUACGGCUCUGAUACCAUAUGGAGGUUUAUGGUAUCGAGAAUUCUAUAUAUUGUUUGUAUUUCUAUACAGAAUACAAUAAUAUAAUAUAUAUAAAGUCUAUCAACAAUAGCUAGCGGUUAAGUAUACAAACACUAUAAUAAUAAUCAUUAUCUCAACGAAGUUUAAGUCUUAUUCAUUGACCAUGAAAUUAUCUAGCAUUUAUCAAUGAAAAGUUAUAAUUAUAAUUUUAUUUUUAUUAGUAAUAUAUUUUAUUAAUUUUUUUAUAUAUCAAGUACCUUAAAUUUUAUAAGAUAUAAUUAUUUAUUCUUAAACUUUAAGAACUUUUCCAACUAGUGAAGCGAACGAGGCAUGGGCUUAUAUUUUGCAUGCAGCCACAUGAGGAAAAAUUAUAAAAUACAAAGUUGUACUGUGUAAAUUAUACGGCAUAUUUAUAUGAUAUAAAAAAUUAAUAAAAUAAAAAUAUAAGUAUAAAAAAAAUAAUUUUUUUAAAAAAUUAAUGAUGAACACUUAAAACAUAAUAACUAAUUUUUUUAAAAAAUUAAAUUAGUUAUUAUGUUUUAAGUGUUCAUCAUCUAUUUUUUAGUAUAUAUAUAUAUCUAUUUAUUAAUUUAUUAUACUAUAUAAAAUUGCCUAAGUAUGCCAUAGUUGUUGUACUAUAUAAUUACUCAUACACGUCAGACACGAUCCUUUACUCCAAUUUCAUCCACAUUCUAGAAAGAUCUCCUGUUUCCUUCUUCCUGAACCAUCGAGAACUAACCAUAUACUUCUAGAAGUUUCAUCAUAUAACAGUUAAGAAACCGCACCCUAUAUAUACCUCCUUCCUUCCUCUCUUCAAACCACAGAUCUAAGCAUAGAAAUACACAAAUACAAACAAGCCUUCACUGAGAAAUCUUGUUCUUUUCUCUCAAUUGCAAUUUCAAAAACCAAGCAAGAAAAAUGUCUCUCAUUCCAGGAAGCUUCUUCGGUGGCCGGAGAACCAAUGUCUUCGACUGAGUCCGCAAAUGAAACUUCAGCAUUUGCCAAGACGCGCAUAGACUGGAAGGAAACUCCGGAGGCUCACGUUUUCAAGGCUGAUCUUCCAGGAAUAAAGAAAGAGGAAGUGAAAGUGGAGGUAAAAGAAGGCAGGGUUUUGCAGAUAAGUGGAGAGAGA